rnacentral:rRNA from 1 species
UACGUAGGGGGCGAGCGUUGUCCGGAAUCAUUGGGCGUAAAGAGCUCGUAGGCGGCUUGGCAAGUCGGAUGUGAAAACUCCAGGCUCAACCUGGAGCCGCCAUUCGAUACUGCUAUGGCUAGAGUCCGGUAGGGGAGUGUGGAAUUCCCGGUGUAGCGGUGAAAUGCGCAGAUAUCUGGAGGAACACCGGUGGCGAAGGCGGCAUCCUGGACCGGCAUUGACGCUGAGGAGCGAA